rnacentral:tRNA from 1 species
GCAUGGGGUUAGCUCAGAUGGUAGAGCGCUCCAGUGGAAAUGGAGAGGUCCCGGGUUCGAUACCCGGACGAGGCG